UAGGAAAAGCAAGUCCGGUAAUUCCCUGA
rnacentral:piRNA from 1 species